AAAUAACCUUUGAUCCGAAGAUUUCCGAAUGGGACAACCCGGCAUUCUGAAGGAAUGUCAUCCAUCCUAGAUGGAAGCUAACGCAGGGAACUGAAACAUCUUAGUACCUGUAGGAAAAGAAAAUAAUAAUGAUUCCCCUAGUAGUGGCGAGCGAACGGGGAUUAGCCCAAACCAAUGUUGUUACGGCAAUAUUGGGGUUGUAGGACCACGAUGUCGCAAGAAAUUUAGUGAGAAGAACCCUUUGGAAAAUGGGACCAUAGACGGUGAUAGUCCGGUAUUCGAAGCUAAAUGAAGCGUAGUGGUAUCCUGAGUAGCGCGGGACACGAGGAAUCUUGCGUGAAUCUGCCGGGACCAUCCGGUAAGGCUAAAUACUCCCGAGAGACCGAUAGCGAACCAGUACUGUGAAGGAAAGGUGAAAAGCACUUCGAAUAGAAGAGUGAAAUAGUCCCUGAAACCGUGCGCCUACAAGCGGUCGGAGCUGCUUCAGCAGUGACGGCGUGCCUUUUGCAUAAUGAACCUACGAGUUACUUUUUCCGGCAAGGUUAAGGAUCUUGAGAUCCGCAGCCGAAGCGAAAGCGAGUCUUAACAGGGCGAUUAGUCGGAAGGAGUAGACGCGAAACCAAGUGAUCUACCCUUGGUCAGGUUGAAGGUUAGGUAACACUAACUGGAGGACCGAACCGAUAAGCGUUGAAAAGCUUCCGGAUGAACUGAGGGUGGGGGUGAAAGGCUAAUCAAACUUGGAGAUAGCUCGUACUCCCCGAAAUGCAUUUAGGUGCAGCCUUGGGAAUUACUACUGUGAGGUAGAGCGACUGAUAAGAUGCGAGGGCUUCACCGCCUAUCAAGUCUUGAUAAACUCCGAAUGCGCAGUAGUUCGAUCCCAGGAGUGAGGGCAUGGGUGCUAAGGUCCAUGUCCUAAAGGAGAAGAAUCCAGACCAUCAGCUAAGGUCCCGAAAUAAUUGCUAAGUUGAACUAACGAAGUCAGAUUGCUAAGACAGCUAGGAUGUUGGCUUGGAAGCAGCCAUUCAUUUAAAGAGUGCGUAACAGCUCACUAGUCGAGGAGUUUGGCGUGGAUAAUAAUCGGGCAUUAAGCAAUUUACCGAAGCUAUGGGAUCCGUAAGGAUCGGUAGGGGAGCAUUCCACUCUGCGUCGAAGGUGAAGCGUGAGCUUUGCUGGAGCGUGUGGAAAAGCAAAUGUAGGUAUAAGUAACGAUAAAGGGGGUGAGAAACCCCCUCGCCGAAAGACUAAGGUUUCCUGAUCAACGCUAAUCGGAUCAGGGUUAGUCGGGUCCUAAGGCUCAGCCGAACGGUGAGGCCGAUGGCAGAACAGGUUAAUAUUCCUGUACUACCUUAAGGAGUGACGUGGAGACGGAGGAGUGACAGCGCCGCGGACUGACGGAAUAGUCCGUUGAAGGGUGUAGAUGUUGAUUAUCCCAGGCAAAUCCAGGAUAAGAGUCGAACCUGAUAGUAUACCAAAUUCUUCGGAAUAAGGUAAUAGUGCGUGUAAGCAUACUCCCAAGAAAAUCCGCUAAACUUAAUCUUUAAGGUACCCGUACCGCAAACGGACACACGUAGUCGGGUUGAAUAUACUAAGGCGCUUGAGUGAUUCACGGUUAAGGAACUAGGCAAAUUGACCCUGUAACUUCGGGAUAAAGGGUCCCAACGAGAGUUGGGCGCAGAGAAUAGGUCCAGGCAACUGUUUAACAAAAACACAGGGCUGUGCCAAAUUGAAAGAUUACGUAUACAGCCUGACACCUGCCCGGUGCUGGAAGGUUAAGAGGAGAUGUCAUCGCAAGAGAAGCAUUGAAUUGAAGCCCCAGUAAACGGCGGCCGUAACUAUAACGGUCCUAAGGUAGCGAAAUUCCUUGUCGGGUAAGUUCCGACCUGCACGAAUGGUGUAAUGAUCUGGACACUGUCUCAACCGUGAGCUCAGUGAAAUUGUAGUAUCGGUGAAGAUGCCGAUUACCCGCGAUGGGACGAAAAGACCCCGUGAACCUUUACUAUAGCUUAACAUUGAAUUUGGGUAAUUGAUGUGUAGGAUAGGCCGGAGACUUUGAAGCAGGUACGCCAGUAUUUGUGGAGUCGCUGUUGAAAUACGGCCCUUUGAUUAUUUGAGUUCUAACUCGUUGUUGCGAGGACACUGUUUGGUGGGUAGUUUGACUGGGGUGGUCGCCUCCAAAAGUGUAACGGAGGCUUCUAAAGGUGCCCUCAGGACGAUUGGUAACCGUCCGUAGAGUGUAAUGGCAUAAGGGCGCUUGACUGGGAGACAGACAAGUCGAUCAGGUAGGAAACUAGAGCAUAGUGAUCCGGUGUUUCCGUAUGGAAGGGACAUCGCUCAAAGGAUAAAAGGUACUCCGGGGAUAACAGGCUGAUCCCUCCCAAGAGCUCAUAUCGACGGAGGGGUUUGGCACCUCGAUGUCGGCUCGUCACAUCCUGGGGCUGGAGAAGGUCCCAAGGGUUGGGCUGUUCGCCCAUUAAAGUGGCACGCGAGCUGGGUUCAGAACGUCGUGAGACAGUUCGGUCUCUAUCUAUCGUGGGCGUAUGAAAUUUGCGUGGCUCUGACACUAGUACGAGAGGACCGUGUUGGACUGACCGCUGGUUUACCAGUUGUGCCGCCAGGUGCAUUGCUGGGUAUCUAAGUCGGGAUUGGAUAAGUGCUGAAAGCAUCUAAGUACGAAGCCAGCCACAAGAUUAGAUUUCUUAGGGUCGUCAAAGACGAUGACGUUGAUAGGAUGCAGGUGUAAAGGUGGUAACAUCAAAGCCGAGCAUUACUAAUUGCCCGUUCACUUUCUUU
rnacentral:rRNA from 1 species